ensembl:lncRNA
CUGAGUUUCUCAAGAUUGAGGGCCUGUGGGCCACUGCAGAGCACGCCGGCUGAGGGAGACUAGCCUGGAGAGUUGGACAUCUCUCCCGUCAGCAGCACCCUUCCAACUCUUUGACCCACCUUGUAAACUCCUGCAUUUGCCUGCGAAAUCCCUUCUUCUUGACUUCCUGGGGAGAAAACAAAUAAGCCUCUCUAAUGUUCCCUUAUAAUUCUAGUUUCUACCCAUUGCUCUUUCCCCAGUACCACUGCAAAGGUCUCCAGAAUUCUCUUCAUUACGCAGAGGCGAGUGGAAUGGCCUAUACUGUUUGCCUGGAAAUUGAGGCACCCUAAGACUUUCCCUUCCCACCCCUCCGUGCAAGGGCUCCCCCGUCCCUGGCUUGAUCUGUCUUUAGGCAGACCUCAGAUGUCUUCUCAUGCCUCUCUGCUCCCCUGGCCCGCCGGGUGUUUCUGCAAAGCUCUCAUCGCCCUGGGAUGGCUCCUCCGUUGCCCAGCCCAGGCCAGGUCCAUCCCGGAGUCACAGAAGAGUCAUUCAGGCAGGGAAGGGCGAGUUCUGCGUUCUCCUAAACACUCUGAGGUCUGACAUUCCAAAGUCCAGGUGCAUUUCGUUUUCUGUGACAGAGGAUCUUUUUGAACAUCCAAAUUGCAGUGACAGUUUUAAAAUGAAUACAGAAUUAAAGGGGGGGUUGCCAGUUGAAAACUCACAUUGCCCCUUACACAGCGUCGUCCUCCGCAGUGUGAGCUUCAGGACGUGUUUACACUUGCAUUUCUCUUUUCACUUUUAUUUUGAUUGGAGUGUAGUUCAUUUACGGUGUUGUGUCAAUUUCUGCUGUACAGCAAAGUGACCCAGCCACGUAUAUAUAUACAUACUCCUUUUCUCAUAUUAUCGUCCAUCAGGGUCAAUCCCAAGAGACUGGAUAGAGUUCCCUGUGCUGUACAGCAGGACCUCACUGCUUAUCCAUUAUAAAUGCAAGAGUUGGCAUCCACCAGCUCCGAACGCCCCGUCCACCCCAAGAUAUGGGCAAAAGAAUGGAGACGCAGAUCGAGACGUUACAAGAGGUGUUUGGUGCUUGCACUUCUUUCCAAAGAGACCGGCUCGCAGGCAGCUCAGAGCUCCCCCCGACGCCCCACCCCGGCCUCGUGCUAACCCGGCAGCUUUCCUCAUCCUGCAGAGGUGACAGUAAUUAAUGUGUUUGUCUCCUGAAAUCCAAUUUUAGCCAUUUCCUCUUCCAAAUCCUCCUAUUUUGGGUAGCUCUUUGCCCUGCCCUACCGAGAUAAUUUAAAAUAUGGUUUCUUUUUUCGGAGAUAUUAGGAGUAUGUCCUCUGGCCGAGCACACUCUGUGGCUUGAACCUCUGCUGAAAGGCCGCUGGGGGUCUGUGCUUCUCCCCGAGCCCGAGGGAGGAGGCUGGUGGCCAACCAGUAGCCCCGAGCAAAGCCUGUUAUCUCUGUUUCUCGGCUAAAAAUACAAGGUCGAGUAGUUCAAAGUCAGAGACUGAAAGGAGGCAAGAACACUGACUUUUUUUUUUUUAAUCGCCAAAAAGGCCUUCUUAUCUCUCAGUGAUAUUGGAGGUUUGCUUUUACAGAGCAAACUUUUUUCACAGCCUCGGUCCAGUUCCUUCACGGAGAUAGUCCAGCCGUUUCUGGAUAGACGGGGCUCAUCUCACACAGCAGCUAAGCGUCCAAAGUGGGUUGGUCGAGCCAGUGUCUCAGAGCCACGAAGGAAGUCAACGUCACAGACUGGCAGCAGCGUUGCACAGGCUGUAAUGACAAUCUGUGUGUCCCUUGGAUCAGCACUGACCCCUCUGGUCUUGGCUUUAUCGUACCUGGGCCUUAAGGUAUACUUAAGAAAUGGGGAAUGGCGAGACAUUAAAAGUUCUUUUGAAGAAGGAACUGCAGAUUUUUUUUUUUUUAAUCGCCGCAUCUGCGGCAUCUGGCAGUCCCAGCCAGGGACUGAAUCUGAGCCACAGCGUCGACCUACACCGCAGCUGCGGCAACGCCAGAUCCUUCAACCCACUGCGCUGGGCUGGAGACUGAACCUGCACCUCUGCAGCGGCCUGAGCUGCUGUCCUCAGAUUCUUAACCCGCUGUGCCACAGUGGGAACUCUGCGGAUUUCUUUAAACAGUAACAAAAAAGCAGCAGAAAUCAGAUAUCUAAGUAUCACUUCCCCCUCCCCCCCCAAAAAAAGGCAAAGAUAACCUGACUGAAAAAUCAAAGAAGAAAAAGUGUGAGAAAACCUGGAUCUUUAAGCCAACCCAGCAUCAGUGGCUUAUGGGCACACAUGUUGAGGAGUUUGUGCAGUGCAGAUGGGAACCGGAUUGUUUAUGAAGCAGUUGAUAUGACGUCUGACCCGUGUAGGUGAUGAGGGGUAGAAAUGGGGGGCUAGGGAUGAAGCGAGCUUGGCAGUCAGCAUCCCUGAAGCUGGAUGUACAGCCCAUGAGAUUUAGGUUACAGUUCUCUCCACUUUGGGUUACGUUUGAAAUUUUUCAUAAAAUACACACAGAGAACAGCAUGGGAAGAAAAAAAGUAUAGAGGGAGGAUCCAACAAAGGUACACUCGGGUAGCACAGACGCAUCCUUUCAUUACAAAGACGAAACAGAUGUCAACAACACAGUUAGGAACAAACCAACCACCAUAAUUUAAUCAAAACCAAACACCAGCUAAUGCCCAAAGCAAAAACAGAAACAAAAAAUACCAAAUGCAAUUACUUCCUAUUUGUGAAGUUACGUAAAUGACAACAGAACAUGUCAAAAGCUGUGGAAUUUGACCAGGUCUGCACUUAGAGGGAAAAACAGAAGCCUCAAAAUGCUUUUAUUACUUGAGAAGAGAGAUUAAUAAUAAAUGAACUAAAUGAGAAGAACAAAACAUAAAUAGAAAAAGAAUAAAGGAGUCAUUAAGAAACUAAAAUGCAAAUAAGUGCAAUUUAAAAAGUCCUCUAGAGCAAACUCUGACGUUUAGAAUGGACAGACCAUACGGUCCUACUGUCCAGCACAGGGAACUGGAUCCGGUCUCUGGGAUAGGGUAUGAUAGAAAGCAGUAUUUUUUUUAAAAAAAGAAUGUCUGUACAUGUAUGACUGAGUCACUUUGCUGUACAGCAGAAAUUGGCACCACAGGGCAAAGCAACUAUGAUAAGUUUUUUUUAAAAGAUGGAAAAAAUUAAAAAGUCAUCUCGAAAGCAGAAAGAAAGGCAGAAAAAAGCACAAAAUUACAGUUGAGACUGGGCAUAUAACUUCAGCUACUCAAAUGGUCAUUUUUAGAAAACUAUUCAUUGCCAACAUUGACACAAGACAAGGCAGAGGAUUAUUGUAAAAAAACCAAUAGCCACAGAAAAAACUGGAAAGAUAUUUGAAGAUUCUAGUUCCUCUCUUACCCUCAGCCCCCAAAGUACCAGUAUCAGAUGGCUUUGUAGGUGACUCCCAUCAAAUUUUGAAGGAAUAGAAAAUUAUUCUGCUACUUAAACUUCUCUGGGAUAUAGAGAAAUAUGGAACAUUUCUCAACUCAUUUUAUUUGUGGAAUAAUUCAUGUUGUCACCAUUGAUUAAGCUAUUGAUCAAAAGAAAAACUACAGGAACAUCUCAUUAAUGAAUAUGGAUGAAAACUCCAAAGCAAAAUAAUGAUAAAUCAAGUCCAGGGUGAUAUUACAAGAAUGAUGUACCAUAUGAUCAAAUGGAGUUUAUUCCAGGAAUAAAAGUGAAUCUAAUAUUAGGAUAUUUAUAAGAUUGGAUCAGGGGAUCAAAGGGCAAAAUAUAUUUAGUCCUUGCAAUAAAUUCCCAAAAUACAUGUAUUUUAACAUUGAUUUGAGCAAAACCUAUUUCUUAUAAAAACUUAGUGCCUCAAAAUUAGAAUAUUCAUAUAUGUAUUUCAAAAACAUAAUAAAUAGUGGAUUUAAUGGCAGUACACUUAAAUUAGAAGAAUAAAUAGGUUUUCUCUCUCCUGCUCAUACUUUUUGACUGGCUCUGAGAUCCAUCAGUUCUCAGUAGGAACUUAUGCUUGACCUAGGCAGCAGUACCUGCUCCAUCGAGACUCCAGAGGGUGAGUUCCCACUGUGGCUCAGCGGUAAAGAACCUGAGUGGUAUCCAUGAGGACAAGGGUUUGAUCCCUGGCCUCGCUCGUGGGUUAAGGAUCCAGCAUUGCUGUGGCGUAGGCCGGCAGCUACAGCUGUGAUUGGACCCCUAGCCUGGGAACUUCCACGUUCUGCAGGUGCAGCCCUAUAAAGACAAAAAAAA